rnacentral:tRNA from 1 species
AGCUUUAUAGUCAAAUUAUGAUAUAAAAUUGCAAAUUUUAAGGUAGAUAUAUUUAUAUAUUAAGGCUU